AGUUUCUUCAUUUGUGAAAUUUUUGGAUCUCCCUUUUGAUUCAAUUUUGAAUUUCCUCCCUUUUGUUUUUCAUGUGGUAAAUGCUUGAUAACAAUAUUUCCGAGAUUGAUUCUUUGAAGUUCAACGUGACAAGUAUUUUAGGACGGGAGGGAGUAGCUUAAAAUGUUCCUUAUAAACUUUUGUAAGGAUAUAGUUGCAGGAUGGUUAAUCCUGACAUCAUUCCAAUUCACCAGCAGCGAGCAACCGAAUCCAUUCUUUGAAGGUAACCUUUACUCCUUGUAUUAUUUUCCGGUCCAGAACUUUAUACUUUACUUGCUUCAUGAUUUCAUUUUUACAUUUGAGAAACUCUAUCAAAAUCUCAACUGCUGACGAUUAUUUAUCAAAAAAUCUGUUUCGGUUUUGGUUUAACUAUUUCAAUUCCCUAAAGAAAUGAAACCUAACUCAUCAUUUGGGUACUGAACAGGCUUCAAUUGACUGAUUUUGUAGUUAUACCUGUGAGAUUUACAUCAAAAUAGGCAGAAUUUUUGUUCAUGUUCUAAGUUAUCAUUAGGUAUCGAAACAAGUUGAAUACAAACUUUACCAAGUUAUGCUGCUAGAACCCCAGUUGCAGAGCAAAGAUGAAAGUUGAAUACAAGCUUUAAUUUUCUGAUUCUUGUUACUCCUAUUAGUUGAACCUCUUUCUCUAAUCCUUUUUCAAGCCUAAGAUAUCUGCAGGUGGAGUAUUCAUUUUAUUUCAGUUGUGAAUUAAUGAUCCUCUAAAGCUUGACCAUAUUUAAUACCAUGGUUUUAUCUGGUGGAAGGUUAGUAUUUCACUAUUUUGCGUUUUAUUUCCAUAGAUGAAAAUGCCAUCUAAUGAUAAAUUGGUUCCAUUUUUCUUUACUCUUUUCUGUAAUAAAUUGGGCUUACACGCCCAUUUUUAAUACUUGGACCUUAUGUGUGUGUGGAGCAUGGCUCGUGUCAGCACGGCCCAAUGUUAAAAUAUUUUGAGUAUAUAUAAGCUACAUUGACCCAAUGUCAAUUUUCCAACAAGUUUGGUGUUAACAACCUCAACUCCUGUAAACAUUUUCAUAAAUAAAACGAUAACAUAAAGCAUUAUUUGAGAGAGAAAAUAUUGUUUCUUCAAAUUAAUACUCAUAACAUAAAACAUUAUUUGAGGAAAAGGCUAUUGUUACUUUUAAGUUAAUCCAACAUAGAAAGCUGAAGAACAAACAAACUUUACAACUUUUGACAAUUGACAAACUUGGUCACAACCUAGCUAGUCAUUUCCAGUUAACUGCAAAAAUCAAUUGAAAACAAUGAAUCAGGAUAUUCUCUCGAAGUUGAUGCAUUCAAACGAAAGGUGUCUGCAGACUCUCCUCCUAUGUUCACCUAUAUGCCAAUGUUAACAAGCAACUUCAUCAAGGCGGUGAUACGUGACAUGUUAGAUGGUCUCAAGGAAUGCAUCUUUACUUGGAUCUAAGAAGUACGAAGUCCAGUGCUUCUUGAACAAUCUCCUCGAUCAAAGAUUCUUUGUUCAAGAUUUCUCGACACAUGAUGUUAGUUAUGGUUAAUGGUGUGAGACCUCUCCCUACAACUUUCUUCAAAAGUAUUGUAGAGAUGUGGAUUGUGCGUGCAACUUCAACAAAUCAAUGUCUUUUUUCACAUCAAGUGAUUUUAUCUAUACUCAAUGACUCUGGCCAAUGCAACCAAUCAAAAGUAACACCUCCAAACUGCAAUAUCAUAAAAUAUGAAGCAACUCAGAAACCAAAGGAUACCAAAAAAAUUUCCAACUCUUAAGUUCUCCUUCUAUUAUCAAUCUUGAAUUAAAGACAGAUCGAGAGAGGGUAUAAACAACUUUAAACACUUUCAAGAAUCUACAAAUUUUACGGGAGUUGUGUCUAUGCAAUAUCAAGGCAGGAAGAAAUGAGAAAUUUGUUAAUUUCACUUUGAAACUUCUUUUGAAAGAGCAUACUAAUAGGACUUGAAAUUGAAAUGUGUUUAUGUCUUAUGUAGUGCAAAUAAUAUAAGGCCUCUCAAAAAGUAGGAUAAAAAGAAGAGGUCAGUUUUGUAAAGGUCACGGUAUUUCACAGGUAUCUAGUGGCCAAUAAAAAUCAGACCGACACUUAACAUGAAAAUGAAUUUUUUUUAAUCAUUUUCGUGUUUUAUCAUCUCAAGGGCUUGCAAGUACAUAGAGAUGCCUCUAAACAACUGCAGUGGAGAUUACAUUGAAUCUGAAUGGACAACUUCACCAUAUUGAAUGGAACUUAACAUGCCUCUAAAUUUCCAUCAGAGUGAGUACUUAAAAUCAUAAAAGUCACUUGAGAGCUCUGUUAGAUCACAAUAAAAUUGUGAAAGAUGAUUAACAUCGCACUAUUAAGUGAAGAAGUAUUAGGAUAUGCAGCAGCAAAAAAUGUAUCCACCAACAAUGCAUAUGUACUCCAAAAGGAAAGGAAAAAUAAUGUAGACUUACACUCUCAAGCAAGCAGUAACCGUGAUCAGUAGGAAUGAGGAGAACUCAAGCUCAUUCCCCUCACAAAAUUCACUCUUUGCUACUCUUGUCAACUUUCAGCUCAGCUAGCAAACUCCCCAAACUGCAUCAACACACACAAAAAAAAAAAAAGAAAAGCAAAGUAAGCUGCAAACGCAUCAAUUUUCAGAAAAAUAAACACAGAGAUCAUUUUAAGUCCGACUUUCUCAAGUUAUCCAAGUCGACUCAGUGACUCAUUUCGAUGAGAACAAUAUACGAUGACUUUCCUCAACCUGUUUUUCACUGGGUAAUAGAUUUUUGUUUUUUCGGUGUGACUGGUUUACUGGCAAGGAAGUCGAAGGAUUUUGUACCGGUGAUUGGCCGAAGAAAAAUGGAGAGUUAAUUUAUUUUGGGGGCUUAGGGCAAUUUAAAUGGGGGUUAGGUUAUUGAGAAGAGAGGGAAUUUUGGAGUUUUUCGGGUCAACCCAGAGAUAGAAACCCAACCAGAAUCUAUAUUCGGGCAAGAAUAAACAUAUGCGCUCGUGUUUUUGGUCCAAAACAUCAACACAACAGAGAUAACUCAUUAUCUUUGUGCUUCAGUACUUGGAAGACGGAACAUGUAUUAGCUGACAGAAUAGCUCGGCUAUCUCCUAUGUUGCCAUCAUUCUCUCUUCUCUCACUAAAUAAGCAAACAACAGAACCAAGAUCAUCGCACUGUAAAAUCAUCUAUCAAAAUACUUGGUUACCUUUCAGUAUAUAAAUGCGUACACAGAGCGUUGCAAAAAUGAUAUUAGCAUUGAUUGAGGAAUUUAAGCAAAACAUGAUUAGUUUAUACCCGAAUUCCAAUAGUAGCUUCCUGACCAGUCUCUAGUAGCUUAGCUAUUUCUCCUCUUGCUUCAGUUGAAUCUCUCUAUGAUUCCUUAGUAGUCUGAUUCGCGGCAGUUAAUUUCAAUAGGAUUUUACUGCAAAUGGUAAGACCACAUACAAAAAUUACUAAAUAAUAAAGCUUAGCAAUCCAUAAACACAUUCAAACUAAAAUUAGCGAUUUGCGAACAUUAGAAAAUAAGCAUGUGCAGAAACAAUAUCCAAAUCCAUACUAUAUAAUAGUAAAUCAGCAUAACAACAUAACUAUCUUCUUGAAAUAAGUCUUAAUUUAAUCCCCCCCCCCCCCCCCCCCAAAAGAAAUCAAAUUACAGGAAAAUAAAUAAAUAUCCGAAAAAAACUGAAAAAGAUUUUAACUUUAUAAUUGGAAUUAGGUUUUGCGGAGACAAAGAUGAGCAAAGAGAAAGAUAUCAACGCCAUUCACACUAUGAUUUCAAAAGUGAAAUUUACAAAGGAUAAAAUGUAUGCGGACCUUAUUCUUACUUUGCGGGAUAGAAAGGUUGUUUCCUAAUUCUUCUCAAUUUCAACAAGUAAAAUAGACCACAUCCAAUAUACAGUUGGAAUCAAAGUUUUGAACCUUCUAUAGAAGUACUUUACAAGCAGUCCUUACACGGUACUCACUGUUUAUAAGAAAAUUUGCACGCCUUUUACCAAUUCCUGGCUUCACCACUCAAUGUCUCAUAAUAAUUUCACAAGUGAAGUCCAAAAAAGAUAAAAAUGCAUGCAAACCUUAUUUCUAAUUUGCGGUAUAAAGAGACUGUUUCCUUUCUCCUCAAUGAGAAUUAGCAAAAUAGACCCAGACAUCUAAUAUUCAAUUAGAAUCAAAAUUCUAAACCUUCUAAGUACUUAACAAGUAUGCCUUUUAGUCAUACAAAACAAAAUAACAAAAAUCCCACGUUACAUCUAAACAUAUACAAUGCAUUAAUUUUAUUAAUUAUACAUGUAGAAGUUAAAUAUAGUAAUUGUGAAAUAGCCUUUUCCUCAAAUAGUGAUUGCGUUUUGCUAUUUUAGAGUUGUAUUUUUGCGCACUGGUGUCCAUUAUUUAACUUCCAGGAUUUCUUUGUUUAUAAUGUUAAGGGAAGGAAAAGAAGAGAGGGGAAAGCAUUCAAGGGUGUGACUUAGAUGUCAAUAAAGUGGGCUGAGAUCCACGAGAUCUCAGGCUCAAAUCCCAGUAGAGACAAAAAUAUGAUGGAUAGAGUAACCUGGUAGGCUGAUGGGAGGUGACAAAUAUCCUAUGGAAUUAGUCGAGGUAUAUGAGUAAUAUGAACCAGUCCCUUUGUGGCCUUAUUUUCUGCAUCUGUUCCCUAGGCCGACCAAGACAAGUUGCGAGGUUUAGAUUAAACUCUAUUUGUCUGAAUUUUGCUAGGUGAAAGUACAAUUUUCUUGCGUUGGGAUGUCCAUAUGAUAUUCUUUUUUUUUGGAAUAGGUGAGAUGUCACUCCAAUGAAGUGGUGGAUGCUUUUUUUUUUAAAUAUUCGUUAGGGGAAAUAUGCCAUUGGCAAAACCUGUGCUCAUAGAACCCUAUUGUUGCCUAUCCCUCCAUGCAUACAGGGGAAAAUAGAAGAAACCCAGUGUGGCCGCUGAAUUUGACAAAUCAAGGAGAGUAUAGAGCUUCACCUGUGGAAAAUUUCAGUGCUGGUAUGCUAGGGGGUAAAUAUAUGUUGAUUCAUUAUUGUUAGUAUUCACUAGAAACCAGAUGAUGGAAGUUAGCCCCAUGUUCUUCAACAUUCAUACAAUAAGUGUUCUCAAAUAAGACUGGCAUUGCCCACUUCCAAUUAAGGGGUAAAUACUGUGGUCAACGUUCCCUUGGGUAGAAGAGGUGGGAGCUUGGGGUGACAAAAUUGAUAAGGGAGCCAACCUACUAAAGUAGCUUAUACUCCAAGGACAAGGUGCAAGGAUUCCACAUGGUUCCUAUGGAGAAAUAUUAAUAUAUUAUAAGCUGAAGAAUCCUUAGGAUUCAUUCUCUGACCGAGGGAUAAAAAAUUGUCGAAUAUUUGAUCUGCUGCUGUUCAUAUUGCAGUGUAUGUGCGUGGCUAAUUUUUAAGUUAUGCACAACACCAAAAGUGAAAAAGGAAAAGAAAAGAAAAGAGUCCUCUUUGUAAUUGAAAGCUUUGUUAUUUGAUACAAAUUUUGCUGAAUGAUCAGCGUUGAAACUACAGGUCUAAAAGUUGGUCCAUAUAGUGAAAUAAGCCAAUGGAUUGCACUUUCUUUUGGGGGAUAGACCUCUGCUGAUUGAACUUGUAUUAUUGAAUGCAGUGGUGAUCUUGGUCGUACUUUUAUCACCUUUUGGUGAAAAUUCUACAACUUCUGUUGGCCGAGUUCAUAUUUAUGACUGAAUUACUACUCUGUGAAGAUUUUUUUUUGUACUUGAACUUGCAAGUGAAAAUGUCAUCCGCUAAUAUAACUAUGAUAUCAGUUCUGUGUGAGAAAGCACAACAGUGUGAACAGAAGCAGAGGAAGAAGUACACAGCUACUUUAGAACAAUUAUCGACAUUUGAAGUAUUGCUUGAUGAGGUUUAUGUGGAUCUUUGCCCUAAACCAGUGAUUAUGAUGUUCGAAGAGAUUUGCUUCGUAUCUUUAAUGAAAUAGUAAAGGAGAUAUAUGAUUAUUCUGCUGAUGCUCCUGUUGUCGAGGUGUUUGGGUCAUUCUCAAUGGAUCUAUUCUGUGCUAAAAGUGACUUGAAUCUAUCUGUCAACUUCACCAAUAGAAAAGUUAACAUUACACGGGAGAAGAAGAUUCAAACGCUAAGGAAAUUUGCAAAAAAAUUUUAUCUACUUCAAAGUAACCUUUGAACUUGUUCUUCAACUUUUUAUGAUUUUUAUGUAAUAUUGGUCCUACAAUAAUCUUAUAAUCCUAGAAUGUCGUCAUAGUGAGGAAUGAGUAAAGUUCAGGAAGGACCUUGAAAACAAGUACCUACUGUUUGUAUUGGUAGGCUUGCAAGGUAAUAUGGAAUUGUGGUGCUUUGGUCUUUACGUGAUACCUUCUUAUAUUAUACUAGUGGCGGUGCCUUUAAGGCUCUUUGUAAAAUUUACUUAGAUGCUAGCCUUAGUUUAAUUAGUUUUUUUUUUUCUUUUGUGUGUAUUGGGGCUUAAACAUGUGUAAGGAAAUCGGAGUAUUUGAGUGGCGGUUUGUGAGAUUUGACUUGGCAAAGUCGGCUACACUAGGUAGAUUAUCUAGGAUGCUUUCUGUUAGCAAUUACCAGUACUUGGUUCUUAUAGUAAAUUCUUCAUCUUCAAGUCAGAUGUUAUAAACUCUAAGCUUUUAGAAUCAAAUACUUAGAUAUUUUUUUUAAGUAUCCUAGAACACCUUUCACUUAUGUA